rnacentral:rRNA from 1 species
CGGGACUUAGUGCCGAUGCUAACGCAUUAAGCACUCCGCCUGGGGAGUACGACCGCAAGGUUGAAACUCAAAGGAAUUGACGGGGGCCCGCACAAGCGGUGGAGCAUGUGGUUUAAUUCGAAGCAACGCGAAGAACCUUACCAGGUCUUGACAUCCCGAUGCCCGCUCUAGAGAUAGAGUUUUUCUUCGGAACAUCGGAGACAGGUGGUGCAUGGUUGUCGUCAGCUCGUGUCGUGAGAUGUUGGGUUAAGUCCCGCAACGAGCGCAACCCUUAUUGUUAGUUGCCAUCAUUAAGUUGGGCACUCUAGCGAGACUGCCGGUAAUAAACCGGAGGAAGGUGGGGAUGACGUCAAAUCAUCAUGCCCCUUAUGACCUGGGCUACACACGUGCUACAAUGGUUGGUACAACGAGUCGCAAGCCGGUGACGGCAAGCUAAUCUCUGAAAGCCAAUCUCAGUUCGGAUUGUAGGCUGCAACUCGCCUACAUGAAGUCGGAAUCGCUAGUAAUCGCGGAUCAGCACGCCGCGGUGAAUACGUUCCCGGGCCUUGUACACACCGCCCGUCACACCACGAGAGUUUGUAACACCCAAAGUC